CGGCGAACGGGUGAGUAACACGUGGGUAACCUGCCCUGUACUCUGGGAUAAGCCUGGGAAACUAGGUCUAAUACCGGAUAUGACACUUCAUCGCAUGGUGUGGUGUGGAAAGUUCCGGCGGUACAGGAUGGACCCGCGGCCUAUCAGCUUGUUGGUGGGGUAAUGGCCUACCAAGGCGACGACGGGUAGCCGGCCUGAGAGGGCGACCGGCCACACUGGGACUGAGACACGGCCCAG
rnacentral:rRNA from 1 species